UUGCACUGAUGGAUGGCACAGAACAAGAGUACAAGAACAUGAAACAUCUUAUUAUGAAUGUAUAUGUAUGUGAUCCUCAAAAAAUUAUUUUACAAAACAAGAUAGAGAAAGAGCUUUAAAAUCCCAAGGAUCCUGCAAAAUGUUUAUUUGGUGUACUAGUCGAAUAAUAGUAUCUAAAAAUAUUGAAACUACUUUAAAACACAUUACGGGCAUGAGGAUGAUAUAGAGCACUUACAUAAAUACCAAAAUCAGAUAAAUAUCUCUUCAAAGUUUAUUUUGAGACUUUCUUUAAAAAUUAAACUUCAGACUGUUCAGGAUAGCAUAAUAGCAUAGGAGGAGAAUUAAAAAGAAUUGAUUUACUUACAAAGAAAAGAUAUCACAAACAUUAAACUCUCUUAUGGCAUUGAUUUGAAAGAUGGGUAUAUGUACAAUGAUGAUGAUGCAACCAGUGUUUAUUUUUGGGUUGAAUGCUUACAGACUUGUGUCCAAUAUUAUUUUACAAACAACAGGGCAUACUAAUGGAUAUUCAUUCUGAAUUUAACAUUUAUGAUUUUUGUCUAAUUUUCCUUAAUACUGUGUCAAAAGGAAAUGUUAAUUAAGUUUGGUAAAUCCUUUAUCGCAAUUGAUGGAACUCAUGGGCUCAAUUCCUAUGACUUUGAACUUAUGACAGUAUUAGUAAACGAUGAAUUUGGGAAUGGAUUUUGUACUGCUUUCUUAUUUUCAAAUAGAAAAGAUACCUAUUUUAAUUUACCAAUUUUUUUAAAUACAUGUCUGUGUUGGUAUUAUAGUCAAAUAGACUGUUAAGUGCCUGGCACAUAGAUAGGGCAUGGUAAGUAAAUCUUAAUAAAAUAUCUGAUUCUGAAAAAAAUCCUAUUAUGUAUACAAGAUGUAUUAAUGAUGGUUUAGAGAGUAUUAAUAGCUUUUUGGGUAGACUUCUAAGUGAUGCAGAUACAUACAAUUUUAGUAAGUAUUUCCAGUAGAACUACUGCAAUAACAUCCAACAAUGGGCCUAUUGUUAUAGGAAGGGGUUGUGGAAUUAAUACCAAUAUGACCAUUCAAAAUUUUCAUAAAAUUUUGGAUAAAAGGGUAUCCGUUAGUUGUUAUCAGUUAAGCUUAAAACUUGGCACUCAUGGAGAGCUAUACCAUAAUAUAUAAUAGGUAUAUCUCAUAAUAUUACAUCUCAUAUUGCUCACUCAUUACAAUAGUGAGCAAUAUGAGAUAUAACAUAUUAUAGUAUAAGUCUCUGUGCAUGACCAGAUUAACACGUUUGGUACCCAUCUCGAACAAGCUCCACUUGGCUGGUACCACAUAGUUAAAUCAUUUAUUUAGUUACACAGUACUACUCACAUAACUUAUGUGUCGUCAGUACCUUCCGUAAAACCUUCGUGAUGCUACCCAUACGUCAUGGCCACUGAAUGUGUUAAAGCUUGUUAAUGUAGGAGAGUUAUACUAAAAUAUAUAUCGCCUAUUAUAUUGCCUUAAAUAGAAAAAAUAAAUAUCUUAUUUAAAUUGUAUCCAUGUAAGUUUUGAUUUAAUGAAAUAAACCUUUUAAUCAAAAA